UUACAGUCUCAUUGAGGGCACCUGUACCUUUUUAUCCUCCUGAGGUUAGGUGAAAUUCCUGCAUUUGUUUUGGAUGUUAUUUCGCAGUGAUUAGCAGGUAUCUGUCUGAGUGAAGCUCAGCAAAUAAUUGCAGGUCUCAUUUACCCAUGAUCCCGUGCUCGUCAUUCCUGAUGUCCAGAGGGGAUGAGUCCGAUUUAUCAUUGUUUCAGAUCGGAAACAAGCAAAGUGAAGCUGGGGACCUGCGCACAGGUAAAUGGCCAAACAUUAAACCUGACCCUGGAGCUGACGCAGAGACGGGACUUCCAGAGUUGUCGUUUCCCUCUGAAUGCUUUUCUGCUCCAUUUGCUGCCUUUACAGCCACGGUGCGGAAGGUUCGACCCCACCGUCACUACCCUGCAGGCCCGUCGGUGUGCCAGAGUCAAAGCAUCGAGGCUGAGGAGGGAUGGAAAUGAAUCGUAAAGACCCUGGAAAAUCCAUGAGAAAAGACACACACACACUUAUCCCUGCGAUCAGAGCAUAACCGAACAUGAGCUGACAGGAAAAACAGAAGUGAGCAGACUGUGAUCGUAAAUAAAUAAUAUUUCUUGUUGUUUUUCUGUACCCUAAAACAUAUAUGACAAAUUAGAAAAUCAGUGUAAAAUCAUCUAAGACUACAUUGUGAAAAGCUUCAGGUAUUUUCUUUUUCUCUUUCUCACUCGCUUCCUGUUUUACUUUGGUAAUCUCUUUCCCUUUGAACUUCUGUCCUUUUACUUCCUGUCUUUGUCUUUUUCCCUCCUUUUUGAUCAUUGCUUUCCUUAUUGGUCACUCCUGUGACCACAACAUAAAAUAGAGCUAUUUUUUACUUUCCUUAUUCUCCCUUCAUGUUCUUCUGAUCUGAUUGAAGCUUGUAAGUUUGUAUUCCCAUCUACUGAUAUUAUUUUAUUAUUAUGUUAAUUUAGCACAAGGUUCAGUUAGCUUUGCACAAAAAUAGAAACGUCCUCCAAAGAGCUACUUUUACUUACUUUGAGUACAUUUUAAAGCCAGUACUUUUUCACUUUUACCUGAGUAAAGAAGUUGAAUCUGUACUUCAAUUUUUACUGGAGUAUUGUUUUAACACUAGUAUCUGUACUUCUGAACUGUCUGCACAUUUGACACCUCUGCUUGAAAGAAGGUUACGUUCAGACAUUCUACAAAAAGCUCCACUUGUUGUGCUGGAAAGGGCAGCGUUGGGUCGUUGACUCUGUACUCAAACAUUUGUACAUAAAGCUAUCACUGGUCUGAGAAUGCUUAAAUGUCCAUCACAUCUGAAAAAUUAAGUGUAAAUAUGUUGAUUUUUUUAAAAGAAAAUCUUCCCCGUUUCUGUUCACCUGCCAGUUGAAACUCUUUUCUUGCGGGUUUACCAACAAAUAAACUCCUCCAGCUUUAUCAAAACUUUUUUUUUUUUCACAUUGAUUCAUUAAUUUUCUCCUUGCCUGAGUCCUCAUUAUUUCUUAAACUUAUUUUGGUGGUGAAUAUUCAGUGACUGUGGACUCUUAAAAUGCAUUGUUGGUGGGUAAUUGCAGAUUUCUCUGC